rnacentral:lncRNA from 1 species
AUUUUAUAUCCUGCUACUUUGCUGAAUUCAUUUACUAGUUCUAGAAGUUUCCUGGUGGAGUUUUUUGGAUCUUCUAGGUAUAGAAUCAUAUUGUCAGCAAAUAGAGCUAAUUUAAGUUCUUCUUUUCCUAUACAUAUCUUUUUAAUUUCUUUCAUCUGUCUAAUGGCUCUGGCCAGUGUUUCAAGAACUAUGUUGAAUAGAAGUGGUGAAAGAGGGCAUCCCUGAGAGGGAAUGCCUUCAAUUUUUCUCUAUUUAGAAUGAUGUUGGCCUAAGUCUUAGUGUAGAUAGCCUUUAUGAUGUUGAGAUAUGUUCCUGUUAUUCCUAGUUUUUCUAGAGUUUUGAACAUAAAGGGGUGCUGUAUUUUGUCAAAUGCUUUUUCUGCAUCUAUCAAGAUGAUUAUGAUUCUUAUCUCUAAGUCUAUUGAUGUGAUGAAUUACAUUUAUUUAUUUCCAUAUGUUGAACCAACCUUGCAUCUCUGGGAUGAAUCUCACUUGAUCAUGGUGCACAAUCUUUUUGAUAUGUUUUUGUAUUUGAUUUGCCAGAAUUUUAUUGAGGAUUUUUGCAUCUAUGUUCAUUAGAGAUAUUGAUCUGAAGUUUUCUUUCUUUGAAGUGUUGUUGCCAGGUUUUGGAAUCAGGGUGAUAUUGGCCUCAUAGAAUGAGUUUGGAAGUGCUCCUUCUUUUUCUAUUUCCUGAAAUAAAUUGAAGAGUAUUGGUAUUAGUUCUUCUAUAAAGGUCUUAUAUAUCCAUGUGUAUCCAUCUGGUCCUGGGCUUUUCUUGGUUGGUAAGCUUUUGAUGGCUUUUUAUAUUUCCUCACUUGAUAUUGUCUGUUUAAGUUGUGUAUAUUUUUCUAACUCAAUCUGGGCAGAUCAUAUGACUUAAGAAAUUUGUCGAUGCCUUCAAUGUCUUCUAUUUUAUUGAAGUAGAAGGUUAGAAAAUAAUUUCUAAUUAUAUUCUGUAUUUCUGAAGUGUCUAUUGUGAUAUUGCCUUUUCCAUCAUGUAUGCUAGUAAUUUGGGUUCUCUCUCUUCUUCUCUUUGUUAGCAUGGCUAAGGGUCUGUCGAUCUUAUUUAUUUUUUCAAAGACCCAACUUUUAGUUUUGUCAAUUUUUUCAAUUAUUUCUUUUGUUUCAAUUUCAUUGAUUUCUGCUCUAAUUUUAAUUAUUUAUUGUUUUCUACUGCUUUUGCUAUUGGUUUGUUCUUCUUUU